rnacentral:rRNA from 1 species
UGCGCCCGCCACGUGCGCAAGCUCAAGGCCAACCUCGGCAAGGACAGCAAGAACCUCCGGGUCCCUCAUGGUGGACGACCACGAGGCGACGGUUUCUCUGGGACCACCAUCUGGUGGUAUGCCUCCAAGAGGUAGUCCACGGCCAACGUCAUCAACUUCUACCCCAGCCGAGACGAGAGGCGCUUCUACCAGGUCAUCUUCCACCGGCGGCACCGCGACCUCGUCGUCGACUCAUACUUGCCCUUUGUCAUUGGCGAGGGUCAUGGCAUGAUUGGCGAAAACCGCCAACCCCUCCUCUUCACCAACAAUGCCAGCAGCAGCUGGAGCCCCUACCUGGGCAAAAGCGUCUAGAACCAAGUCCCCUUUGAGCACCCCGCCACCUUUGACACGCUCACAAUGCAUCCCGAUGAGAAGGAGGUCGUCAUUGACAAUCUCAUGGCAUUCCAAGAGAGCAAGGAAUAUUACACCAAGGUCGUCAAGGCGUGGAAGUGUGAGUACCUCCUUUACGGAUCGCCCGGCACUGGCAAGUCCACCAUGAUCGCCGCCAUGGCCAACUUCCUCGAAUACGAUGUCUACGGUCUCGAGCUCACGGCGAUCAAGAACAACACUGAUUUACGGCAGCUCUUCAUCAAGACCACGGGAAAGUCCAUCAUCGUCAUAGAGGACAUUGACUGCUCUGUCGACCUCACCGGAAAACGCCGCAAUGACAAGAAGGCUACAAGCGACAAGGACUACGACAAUGAUGACAAGCCCUAGCUAUCAGUAAAGCCGGAGAAGGACGACGCCACCAAGGUGACGCUCUCAGGCCUGCUUAACUUCAUCGACGGGUUGUGAUCUACUUGCGGAAGUGAGCGAAUCAUCAUCUUCACUACCAACCAUAAGGAGAAGCCGGACCUGGCGUUGAUCCGGCGGGGCAUGAUGGACAAGCACAUCGAGAUGUCCUACUGCCGCUUCGAGGGCUUUAAGGUACUUGCCAAAAAAUACCUAGAUGUCAUCGAGCACAAGCUCUUUGGGGAAAUUCAGCGGCUGCUCGAGGAGACAGACAUGUUGCCCGCCAACGUUGCAAAGAACCUGAUGUCCAUGUCGAAGAAGAAAAAGAGGGAGCCCAACGUGUGCUUGACAGGCCUCAUCGAGGUGCUCAAGCAGGCCAAAGAGGACAUGGCGGCGGCCAAGGUGAAGGACGCAAAUGGCAAGGAGGCUGCAGCAAAGAAAGCCAAGGAGAAAGAGGAGGCGGAGGUGAAGAAAGCUAAGGAGGAAGACAAAGGGAAGGACAAAGAACCGGAGGAAGCCAAUGAAGAUAUCAAGCAAGGUGACAAAUGA